rnacentral:lncRNA from 1 species
UAAGCCUCUCCCUAUAUUCUCUUAAUUGUUUUUGAAGAAUAUAUAAAGCAUAUAUGAACUUAUGUGAUUAUCUAACUUGCAUGUUUGAUGUAAAAUAUACCUUUUUCUUUUUGGCAGCCCUACGUUCAUAAAAAUAUGUAAAAAGAAAAUGUUGAAUCAUUCGAUCCAAAGAUUUACCUUGCAACAGUGUUGAACUGUCUGUUUUAGUGUUACAAGUUUCUUCCCAAAUAUAACCAAUAUUUUUAUUUGAUUUAUUUCUUUUUUCUUCUUUUUUUUCUUUUGGUUUUUACUGUAAUAGCCCGGUGUUUCCAUAUGAGAGUGAGUUUAUUAAGGGGCAGAUUAGGCAGUUCACAUUUUGGUGAAUUUCCUAACCUCCUGGCUUUAUUGUAGUAAAGAUUAUGGAAUGCCGUUUGUUAAUCAAAACAGCAUUCUGGUAGUCACCAUUAACGGAGCUGGGCUACUAAUAGUGCUGAUAUAUCUUGGCAUAUUCAUUUUUUAUGCUCCUCCAAAACGACGGGUACGUACGUAUAUAUUACUCACUUACACAAUUGACAAUCUAGUUGCAUGUAUUUAUUUUGAAAAUUAAUAUUUCACAUUUUCACUUUCACUCUUGCAGAGGAGGGUUUUCAAAUGGUUAGUACCUGAAUUUGUUUACUUCGGGAUUGUUGUGCUUGGAACUAUGUUGGCAAUACCCGAGCAUAAGAUGGCGAUGAAUAGACCUUACCGGGCUGUCGUGGUUGGUAUUAUAUGUGAUAUCUACAAUGUCAUCAUGUAUAGCUCUCCUCUGUUCAUUGUGGUAUGUCAAAGUUUUUAUUGUAAAUUUAUUUUACCAUCUCGGGUAGUAUACCUCACAAUUUAACUCACUGUCUUGGUUUUAACUUUUAACAGAGAAAGGUCAUCAAAACUAAGAGUGUGAAGUACAUGCCGCCAUUCACUAUCGUAUUGGCCAACUUCAUGAAUAGUUGUUGCUGGACUGCAUACGCUCUUCUUGGGAAAGUUGACUACUUCAUAUUGGUGAUUAUUUCUCUCUUAGUGAUCAAUUUUGAUGAUGUGGUGAUUGAACUUAUUAACUAACGUGUGUGUAUCUAAUUACUGAUGCAGAUUAGCAAAGGUCUUGGUUCAUUCUUUGGACUAGUUUAACUGAUAGUCUAUGGGAUUUUUUCGUUAUGCUGCACACCAAAUGAUGAAGACGCUGCAAGCAAGCCUACUAAUGAAGUGCAACAACAGAAGCUAAAGAGGUCAUGACCAAUAUGCCCGGAACCAGAUUGAGAUCAUAUAAGGGUUACAACAUUUUACCUGGUUUUCUACUUUGGUUCAUGGAGUUCUACUUUUGAUUAUCAUCAGAGGUCUUUAAGUCUAGUUACAGGUUACACUUGUCAACUUCAACUUCAAAUCGAUCAAAUUUAUAGACAUGAUCUGGGAUGAACCUCAGUAGUGUGUCAUCGAACAUUCUUACCUUCAUGUGAUGGAUAUGAGUCAUAUGUCAAACUGCAGUUGGUCGCUUAGCUUAAUUAAACUACAAGACCAUGAUUGCCAAAAUUGCAAGGACUAAACAUGCAUGUCACUAAACCAAGUUGGUGAACUGUAAUCUAAACCUUUAUAUGCACAUAAAUUUGCCAUAAACCUGCUUCAUCAAACAUAUGUAACCAACCACUUUUCACAGUUAGAAGAACAUGGUACUUUAAGUGUGGAGUUUCUUAAGGAGUUCUUCCUUAUAAGAAGACUUUUUCUUCAGGAAGUAUUUUAAUACGUAGUCGGUGAACCAAUAUACGUCGUUAGGCACCUGCAAAACUGCGUUGCUGCUCUCGGUCGCCAUUUCACACACACACACACAAAAUAAGCGAAUUGGGCUUUUAGCGAGCUAGCGGAGAAGUGACGCGUCUAGGCGGUCUGGGCCGUCGUGGGCCUAGACGGGCUGGAGGCUGUAACAUGAAAAAGCGACGAAUGGGCUCUCGUCGUCUUCUCUCAUCUCUCUCAGGUGAUUUUAGGGUUUAGGGAAAGGUACCUGUAUUCAUGGUUAUGCGCAAUCAUGCUUCGGCUAUACAUGAUGAGUCACAAGCGCAACAGCAACAACAUUUCCUCAAGUGCAGCAGAAGAUGGAGAUCACCACCAAGGAAAAGGACACCGGAAUAAGCAGCAGCAAUGGCAAUCGACAAUGGCAUGAAGCUUGAUAUAUAUAGACAGGACCCGUCAAGUGCAGGCCUCGUAUGUGAGCUAGAAUCAAAUGCUCCCAACACAAUAAUAAAGCUUCAUAAAAUCACUAGGCUGAAAAAAAAAAACUUAAGCUAUUGGGGAACGAAUCAACAAUAUAUAUCAGACAUAGAAUAAACAGAUAGUAUUGUCACUAAUACAGUAAUACCUUACUGAGUUGAUAAUGGGAAGCAAUAUUGCAAUAACAGGUCCUGCUCUCCAUGGCACUCAAGUUUCUUUCAGCUAAGAAACAUACUACUGGUGCAAAUAGAAUUGUAAUUAUAUCUCCGUCUUUGCAUUAAAGAAGGUGCAUAUUUCAGUUCAUAUAGAAUUCGAAAACGAUUAGCUAAAUAUAUAGGAAACCGAUCUUAACUCUGGUAAGGUGCCAUGCAAAUAUAGCUGUUAGUUCAUAUCCAAUAAGACUAGAUUAUCCACCAAGGUCCGAUUAAUAUGCCUCCAGGAUAAAGUACGUGACCAAAUAUAACUACAAACCUCAUACACACCAAAGACAUGAGAAUCUCAUUAUUACUAGAACAAGGUAAUCAUAUCAGACUCAGAGAGAGAUAAGAGCUCCCAGAUACAGUUCCAUUCGGACACUGAUAAUACAAGUCUAAUAUAAAUACGAGCAUUCCCUUCUUCAAAAUCUGAUUCAUUCCAUUCUCCAUAUCUCUCAUCCUUCGAUCACAUUUGAAUUUUCAUUCUGCUUACAAAGAUGGUGACCCCAAGGACUGUGGUUGGUGUCGUAGGAAACGUCAUAUCUGCGUUUCUGUUCCUCUCCCCAAUGUAAGCCUCUCCCUAUAUUCUCUUAAUUGUUUUUGAAGAAUAUGAACUUAUGUGAUUAUCUAACUUGCAUGUUUGAUGUAAAAUAUACCUUGUUCUUUUGACAGCCCUACGUUCAUCAAGAUAUGUAAAAAGAAAGAUGUGGAAUCAUUCGAUCCAAAGAUUUACCUUGCGACGGUGUUGAACUGUCUGUGUUGGUGUUACUAUGGACUGCCGUU